rnacentral:rRNA from 1 species
AGAGUUUGAUCCUGGCUCAGAUUGAACGCUGGCGGCAUGCCUUACACAUGCAAGUCGAACGGCAGCGGACCUUCGGGUGCCGGCGAGUGGCGAACGGGUGAGUAAUGUAUCGGAACGUACCUUUCAGUGGGGGAUAACGUAGCGAAAGUUACGCUAAUACCGCAUAUUCUGUGAGCAGGAAAGCAGGGGAUCGCAAGACCUUGCGCUGAUUGAGCGGCCGAUAUCAGAUUAGCUAGUUGGUGAGGUAAAGGCUCACCUAGGCGACGAUCUGUAGCGGGUCUGAGAGGAUGAUCCGCCACACUGGAACUGAGACACGGUCCAGACUCCUACGGGAGGCAGCAGUGGGGAAUUUUGGACAAUGGGGGCAACCCUGAUCCAGCCAUGCCGCGUGAGUGAAGAAGGCCUUCGGGUUGUAAAGCUCUUUCGGCCGGGAAGAAAUCGCA